rnacentral:rRNA from 1 species
GAUGAACGCUAGCUACAGGCUUAACACAUGCAAGUCGCGGGGCAGCAUUUCCUUAGCUUGCUAAGGAAGAUGGCGACCGGCGCACGGGUGAGUAACGCGUAUCCAACCUUCCCAUGUCCACGGGAUAGCCCGUCGAAAGGCGGAUUAAUACCGUAUGAGGUCACAUGCGGGCAUCUAAGUGUGACGAAAGGUUUAGCGGACAUGGAUGGGGAUGCGUCCGAUUAGCUUGUUGGCGGGGUAACGGCCCACCAAGGCGACGAUCAGUAGGGGUUCUGAGAGGAAGGUCCCCCCACAUUGGAACUGAGACACGGUCCAAACUCCUACGGGAGGCAGCAGUGAGGAAUAUUGGUCAAUGGGCGAAAGCCUGACCCAGCAACGCCGCGUGAAGGAAGAAGGCCUU